GUUACUACUCCCUCCCACCAGCUGAAAGAAUAAACAAACAAAAUGAUCACAGUUAUUAAAGGCACAAAGAGGUCUUGAAGCCUACAUGAGAGGUGCAAUGGUGAGCCUAAGUGAGGUGUGGUGCAAAAGAAAGAAAAAAGACUACUCAUAUUAAUAACAUAAAACAACCAGAAUUCCAGCACUAAUCUUUUUGAAAUCCAAAUUAACAAAAAAUAAAAAAUGUUAAGUCGUGUUAAACCAUAACCCUAAGUUCCUCCUAGAAAGCAAUAAUCCAUAAGACUAGUAAUGUAGUUACUGUAGAACCAAAAGAAACCAAAAGAAUAAGAGAAAUUCUUAUAAGGGGAUGAGAAACAUACUUUCAACUUUAUUAAUUCUCAAAUUAAUUGCCAAUCAUAGAAAAGGUCUCCCAAAUUACCUAGAGGACAUAGGUAUUUAU
rnacentral:misc_RNA from 1 species